UACAGAGGGGGCAAGCGUUAUUCGGAAUUAUUGGGCGUAAAGAGCUCGUAGGCGGUCUGUCGCGUCGGCUGUGAAAACUCGGGGCUCAACCCCGAGCCUGCAGUCGAUACGGGCAGACUAGAGUGCUGUAGGGGAGACUGGAAUUCCUGGUGUAGCGGUGAAAUGCGCAGAUAUCAGGAGGAACACCGGUGGCGAAGGCGGGUCUCUGGGCAGUAACUGACGCUGAGGAGCGAAAGCGUGGGGAGCGAACAGG
rnacentral:rRNA from 1 species